rnacentral:rRNA from 1 species
CCCCUAGAUGUUCUGGGCCGCACGCGCGCUACACUGAACAGUUCAACAAGUCUUAACCUUGGCCGAUAGGUCUGGGUAAUCUUUGAACGCUGGUCGUGAUGGGGAUAGACUUUUGCAAUUUUUGGUCUUCAACGAGGAAUUCCUAGUAAACGCAAGUCAUCAACUUGCAUUGAUUACGUCCCUGCCCCUUGUACACACCGCCCGUCGCACCUACCGAUUGAAUGGUCCGGUGAAGCCUCCGGAUUGGCGCGCACCUCGGUGCCGCCGAGAAGUUGGCUAAACCUUACCAUUUAGAGGAAGGUGAAGUCGUAACA